rnacentral:misc_RNA from 1 species
GAUGAAGAACGCAGCGAAAUGCGAUAAUUAAUGUGAAUUGCAGAAUUCCGUGAAUCAUCGAGUCUUUGAACGCACAUUGCGCCUCAUGGCAUUCCGUGAGGCAUGCCCAUCUCCGCGUUAGAAAAUAUUCUCAAAUUUUAGUUUUGUGCUAAAAUUUGGAUCAUGUCAAGGAAGCUAUUACUAUUAUUGUGAUCGCUCUUUGGAAAUUGAUAGGUCUUUGAGUUGCUACUCAUAGAACGUGAUGAAUCUUUCUUCGUUCUAUUGUAAUUCACUCUGGUAGUCCUAAAACUUGUAUGCCUGUGGCAUAUCUUGUAAUUUGACCUGAGAUUGGGUAGGGAUACCCGCUGAACUUAAGCAUAUCAAUAAGCGGAGGA